rnacentral:lncRNA from 1 species
UGGCUAUAUAAUUAACAUUACACCCAAGAUUUCCACCAUUAUUGGCAAUUUGACUUAUAUGCAAAAGUAUAACCGAAUAGUCUUCAAGGACAUAAGCAGUUAAAAGCUACUGUCUAAUAUAUAAGAAUGGUUCUUUUUCAAAUCUAAAAAUGUUUGGCAUUGUAGUUCAAUAAAAAAAUACCUUGGAAAUCAGCAUUUAGAGAAAAAAAU